GACGUAGGGCGCGAGCGUUGUCCGGAUUUAUUGGGCGUAAAGAGCUCGUAGGCGGCUUGUCGCGUCGUCCGUGAAAACCUGCAGCUCAACUGCGGGCUUGCGGUCGAUACGGGCAGGCUAGAGUUCGGUAGGGGAGACUGGAAUUCCUGGUGUAGCGGUGAAAUGCGCAGAUAUCAGGAGGAACACCAGUGGCGAAGGCGAGUCCCUGGACAAACCCUGACACUGAGGCACGAAAGCCAAGGGAGCAAACAGG
rnacentral:rRNA from 1 species